rnacentral:lncRNA from 1 species
GCCCAUGUUCGAUGUCCAGGGUCUGACGGUGGAGUGGUCCAAACCCGACCUGAAGCCCGACCCGUCGGACCGGCUGAGCCGAGUGGAGUACGUUCACCUGUACAGGGACAGGAAGGAGGUCCCCGACAUGAAGAUGGCCUCGUACUUCAGGAGGACGGAGCUGUUCAUGGACGCCAUGAAACACGGGAACAUUUCACUGAAGAUCCUGAACGUGUCGGAGGAAGACAACGGCAGAUACAGAUGCUUCAUCCCCAAGCUGAGGAGCAGAGUGAAAGCUGCUGUUGUUGAACUUGUAGUCGAAGCAUCAAGGCGACGAAGUGACCCAAACCAACCAUAACAAUUCCAGGUGCUCAAAGGAGGGUUGGUGUUAAUGGACCUGAGAGCGUUGGAGAUUUACCUUUUCUGGCUCUGCUGGAUCCUUAUGGUCAGGUUGGAGGUUCAAACCAGCAGCCACAGGAAGGCACUUGGCCCAGCAGCACUGAGACGCAUCAUAAUGUCACUUCUAUAAACGGAGUCUGAUUUAAACUUCGACCUCAGGUGAAGACUCAAGUGUUGUAUGAGAAAAAACACAGCGUGGGAAAUCUGGAAAUCUAACAGUAAAUAUAUGAAACAAGCCACAUGUAGGUUAUUCUUUAAAUUGGAUUCAGAUCCAGUGAAGUAGCCAGUCUAAAACCAAUUGUUAAUUUUUUUUUCCAUUCCUUGUCAGCAACAUUAUUUUGAUCUAACCCUAAUAAGUGUUUAAAAACCAACAUGUACACUGGGGUAAUGCCAAGCAGCAGUCCCCAGGGGAACUGCAGUUCAUCUACUCAAGUCAGCCCUCACAGACUGUCAUGUUAAAACCCAGCAGAAAUGCACGUCUUCAUAGCCAGCUACAAAAACAGGAUGUGUUCCUCCUCUAUAGUUGUACGCUAGUUGAAUAUUUCUUACAACUUUUAACUUUUGAGUUCAAAGGCUCAAAGGAGGAUGUGCCAGCAGAGAUGUCCAAGCUUCACCCCUGUCGCCGUGAUGUGGCUUGUGGCUCAGCUGCAGGGGAGGGGUGGAGCAGUGGGUUCAGGGUGUGGUGAUCUGGAUGAGAGACUAGAGGCUAGUUUGAAUGUGAUUCUAUCAUGUUGUUUCAGGUUUGUUCUUUGGUUCAUCUCUUUCACCCUCUUUGUACUUUCUUUUUUCACUUGUAGCUCUCUGUCAAACACUGGAGGACUGCUUGGACUUCAUUAGAAAACUGAAGUUCAGUCUGCAGAUCAACACUUAGCCGGAUAAAGAGCAUUAUUUAUUACUGUCAGGUUUAAUGUUCUCAUUUAUUUAAAUUGUACAUCUUGCUGGUCAAGGUCACCUUGAAUCCUUCAGUGAGGCUUCUGAAUGACCUCCAAUGGACAAAUUUAACCUCCUAGGACCUGGCAUCACAUUUUGGGUUAUUUUGAACAAAAUACUCAAUUUUGCUUUACAAGGGCCUGAUAUUCACUUACAACGACAUUAUACUGCUACUGUUCUAUUGAAAUUUUAAAUGAAUAUGCUCGUAUGUGGC